UUACGGCCACAUCACGUUGAAACAUUGGUUCUCCCCAAGAUCACUGAAGUUAAGCAACGUCGAGCCUGGUCAGUACAUUAAGGAGUGACCAUUUGGGAAUGCCAGGUGCAGUAA